UACAGAGGGGGCAAGCGUUGUUCGGAAUUACUGGGCGUAAAGGGCGCGUAGGCGGCCUGCUAAGUCGGAUGUGAAAUCCCUCGGCUCAACCGAGGAACUGCAUCCGAUACUGGCGGGCUUGAAUCCGGGAGAGGAAAGUGGAAUUCCUGGUGUAGAGGUGAAAUUCGUAGAUAUCUGGAGGAACACCGGUGGCGAAGGCGGCGUCCUGGACCAACACUGACACUGAUGAGCGAAAGCCAGGGGAGCAAACGGG
rnacentral:rRNA from 1 species